rnacentral:tRNA from 1 species
GCGGAUAUGGCGAAAUUGGUAGACGCACUAGAUUUAGGUUCUAGCGUGGCAACACGUGGGGGUUCAAGUCCCUCUAUCCGCACCA